rnacentral:rRNA from 1 species
UGUCUUUCAGCAUAUUCUGAUGCAGACUGGGCUGGCAAUCCGGAUGACAGGCGAUCCACGGGGGGUUAUGCUGUCUUCUUUGGCUCUAACCUGAUUGCCUGGAGUGCUCGGAAACAGGCUACUGUCUCGCGUAGCAGUACUGAGGCUGAGUAUAAGGCUGUGGCCAAUGCCACAUCAGAGAUCAUCUGGGUACAGUCCUUGCUUCAGGAGUUAAGUAUACCCCGAUCACAGCCUCCUGUUCUUUGGUGUGAUAACAUCGGUGCUACAUACCUUUCUGCAAAUCCGGUAUUCCAUGCCCGAACGAAACACAUUGAAGUUGACUAUCACUUUGUGCGUGAACGUGUCUCUCAGAAGCAACUACAGAUCAAGUUUAUUUCUUCCAAGGAUCAACUUGCUGACAUCUUC